ensembl:snRNA U2 U2 spliceosomal RNA
AUCACUUCUCGGCCUUUUGGCUAAGAUGAAGUGUAGUAUCUGUACUGCUCACCGCUGCACUAAUUCCUGGGCUCAGAAUGAUGAUCUUCUGGAUUCCAGUACUGUGCUGCUGUCCCAAGGACCCUCU